UCCAUGUUCCAACCCUCCAGCAAAGCCACUGCCGGACUCCCCGUGCCAAGUUUUCUAAGGUCUAACUUUCCAGGGAGGUGACUGCAAGACCAGCAGCGUCUCCCAAGUACAGUGGAAACUAACGGAGAAGUUGGCUUAUUUACCCCUUUUACAUAACUCAAAAUAUCCUUCUAGCUACGUAAAAGGGGGAAAAAUGAAAGCCAGCCUGGGCUCCAAGCUCUGUUACUAUUUCAGUGGAGAGAAAGGCAGGGAGGCUACCGUUCAGCCGGUUUAGCAGAAAUCCUGGAAGUCUGUCGAUCAACCAGAGGAUAUUUUCUUGUCCUGGCUUGUUUUGGAGCUGGUACAAGAGCUGAUAGUCUUAACCCUGUUUAAUUUAUGUAGCUCCAGAAAGAAAAGUUGUCAGGGCCUAUAAAAUGAAGAAAAAGAAAAGCCAAGGAGACCAGGGACAUGUCCAAACCUCCUCCAGCGGCAGUGUCACCCUGCUCAUCAGGGUAUAGGACUCCACGCCACCGACAACAACAGAAAAAAACAUCUGCUCUUGGCAGCGUCCUGGCUGGGAUAAUGGCCCGCCGAGCGCAGCAGCGCUGCAGCCCCAGCGCCUGCCAGCGUCUACCGCGGCUGUGCACAAGUUAGUUUGAUCGUGGUCAGCAUUUGCAGGACCCUGUAACGCCAUCUAAUCAAGUCCAAGUCUCAAAGAAAGACUUUGUUAAAAUCACCCCAGGCCUGUGUAUUCUUUUCUUUAAAGAAUUACAAUGCAAAGUUACUGCUUUAUAAAACGUGGAGCCAGGAAUUUAUCCUGAAGUUGAAUGUCACCAGUUUAUGUAUGUUUGCUCUCACAUUUGAAGACUUUCUCUGUAGCCUUCUGUUCUGUUUAGAAAAGCGGAUUCUUUUUUUCUGCUCCUUUUCAAGCACUGUUUAAUCAUUGUUUAUGAUUUUGAUAGUUUUCUCUGAGUUCUUUACAACUUAAUUAUCAUAUCUAUCACUACAAUGAAUAAAACGAUUUACUCACUCCUCCAA